CGGAAGGUUCACAGAAUUCCUCUUGCUUCAGGGCGUGGGGCGUUUACACGGUGAAAAACUCAGUGAACAUGCUAGUCACCUCCGCUGGGUUUGGUCCGCUAAAAUUCGAGGUUACAUCGCAGACCCUUUACUGAAGCAGCGGCAUAAGGCACAAAGACUGUCGAUACAAGAGCUCCCCCUGUGGCAAGUGAAUUACACAAAAGGAGCUCAUCAAGAAGAUAAGCGGGGGAUAGGCUGAGGGAAAGAGGAUGCGUGUGCAAG